CUAGUUUGCCUUGGGCUAAAUACGCCACUGACUGGAGGUGUGUUUAAACCUGCAAUGUAAACCUGUAUUUCUAACACUAUACUGUAGUGUCCCUGGCCUUAGAUAGGUCCCGCCCCUUACCUUUCACCGCCUAUGCUUGAUAACAGAGAUGCAGUAGUGCAAUACUCAAUGCUAUCUUUGCUCUUCUUGUAAAGCAUUUCCUAUGUGAGAGGCUAGUAGUGAGCAAAUUGGAAGUCUCUUCCAGUCCAGCAUCACACACAGUUCCUGAAGGAGCUGGGAGUGUUUUACUCUCUGUAUAACUGUUCCUGUGCACUGCUAUCAAGUACAAGAGGCUGACUGGACUACAGGGUAAACUGGCCAAGGCUCCUGGUACUCUCCCCAUUUGCCCACUUGACCUCCAAAAAAAGCACUUUAUAAGUGCUGAAAACAAGUGCAUGUAGGCAGGGGCUUAUCCUUGCAAAUGGAGAAUCCAUCCCUGUGGCUAAUAUCAAUUGUGUGCAAAUUUCUAUGCACAGACGAUCAUUCAUUUGCAGAGAGCAAUCAGAUGAUGCUCUAAGCCAGGCUUCCCCAAACGCCGGCCCUCCAGAUGUUGCUGAACUACAACUCCCGUGAUUCUAUGAAUGAAAUAGACAGGCUGAGAAUCAUGGGAGUUGUAGUUCAGCAACAUGUGGAGGGCCGGAGUUUGGGGAAGCCUGCUCUAAGCUAAUCAAUGAGCAGUAGGAUCGGAAACCUGGUUUCUGCAGCUGUACAUAAUAUGGAUGUUAUAAUUCUGCUGAAUAUGAGGCGCAGCAGGACCCCGGUAACAGAGCAAAUUGUUUUAAAACGGUUUGCCUCAUUACCAGGGAACGACACCAGGGUAUGUCUACCAUCAUAACCACUACAGCAGGCGAAAGAGAUUGAGAUUGGCGACGUGUGUUGCAUUAAAAUUUGACAAGUGAGG